rnacentral:rRNA from 1 species
UUGAACGCUGGCGGCAUGCCUUACACAUGCAAGUCGAACGGUAACGCGGGGCAACCUGGCGACGAGUGGCGAACGGGUGAGUAAAGCAUCGGAACGUGCCCAGUAGUGGGGGAUAGCCCGGCGAAAGCCGGAUUAAUACCGCAUACGACCUACGGGUGAAAGGGGGGGAUCGCAAGACCUCUCGCUAUUGGAGCGGCCGAUGUCAGAUUAGCUAGUUGGUGGGGUAAAGGCCUACCAAGGCGACGAUCUGUAGCUGGUCUGAGAGGACGACCAGCCACACUGGGACUGAGACACGGCCCAGACUCCUACGGGAGGCAGCAGUGGGGAAUUUUGGACAAUGGACGAAAGUCUGAUCCAGCCAUGCCGCGUGCGGGAAGAAGGCCUUCGGGUUGUAAACCGCUUUUGUCAGGGAAGAAAUCUUCUGGGUUAAUACCUCGGGAGGAUGACGGUACCUGAAGAAUAAGCACCGGCUAACUACGU